UACGUAGGGUGCGAGCGUUAAUCGGAAUUACUGGGCGUAAAGCGUGCGCAGGCGGUCUGUUAAGACCGAUGUGAAAUCCCCGGGCUUAACCUGGGAACUGCAUUGGUGACGGGCAGGCUUUGAGUGUGGCAGAGGGAGGUAGAAUUCCACGUGUAGCAGUGAAAUGCGUAGAGAUGUGGAGGAAUACCGAUGGCGAAGGCAGCCCCCUGGGCCAAUACUGACGCUCAUGCACGAAAGCGUGGGGAGCAAACAGG
rnacentral:rRNA from 1 species